CGAGCGGAUGAAGUGAGCUUGCUCAUGGAUUCAGCGGCGGACGGGUGAGUAAUGCCUAGGAAUCUGCCUGGUAGUGGGGGACAACGUUUCGAAAGGAACGCUAAUACCGCAUACGUCCUACGGGAGAAAGCAGGGGACCUUCGGGCCUUGCGCUAUCAGAUGAGCCUAGGUCGGAUUAGCUAGUUGGUGAGGUAAUGGCUCACCAAGGCUACGAUCCGUAACUGGUCUGAGAGGAUGAUCAGUCACACUGGAACUGAGACACGGUCCAGACUCCUACGGGAGGCAGCAGUGGGGAAUAUUGGACAAUGGGCGAAAGCCUGAUCCAGCCAUGCCGCGUGUGUGAAGAAGGUCUUCGGAUUGUAAAGCACUUUAAGUUGGGAGGAAGGGUUGUAGAUUAAUACUCUGCAAUUUUGACGUUACCGACAGAAUAAGCACCGGCUAACUCUGUGCCAGCAGCCGCGGUAAUACAGAGGGUGCAAGCGUUAAUCGGAAUUACUGGGCGUAAAGCGCGCGUAGGUGGUUCGUUAAGUUGGAUGUGAAAUCCCCGGGCUCAACCUGGGAACUGCAUCCAAAACUGGCGAGCUAGAGUAUGGUAGAGGGUGGUGGAAUUUCCUGUGUAGCGGUGAAAUGCGUAGAUAUAGGAAGGAACACCAGUGGCGAAGGCGACCACCUGGACUGAUACUGACACUGAG
rnacentral:rRNA from 1 species